UGGGCGCAAGCCUGAUCCAGCCAUGCCGCGUGGGUGAUGAAGGCCCUAGGGUUGUAAAGCCCUUUCGGCGGGGAAGAUAAUGACGGUACCCGCAGAAGAAGCCCCGGCUAACUUCGUGCCAGCAGCCGCGGUAAUAC
rnacentral:rRNA from 1 species